UUUUAUUAUAUUCAUUAAUAAUAAAAUCUGCUCAAUGAAAAAUUAAAUAGCCGCAUCUUGUGCUAAGGUAGCAUAAUCAUUCGUCUUUCAAAUAAAGACUAGAACAAAAGAUUUCAUAUUUUAAUUAAUUUUUUAAUAAAAAUAUUUAACUUUUCUUAAAUGUAAAAAGACAUUUAUGUUUUAGAAAGACGACAAGACCCUAUAGAACUUAACUUCAGUUAAACUGGGGUAGUUAAUUAAUUAAAAUUUUAUUUAAAUAAUUUUCUCAAAAAUCUAUUUAAUUAAUAAUUCAGUUACCAUAGGGAUAACAGCGCAAUUAUUUUUUAAAGCUCUUAUAUAAAGAAUAGAUUACGACCUCGAUGUUGAAUAAUAACCUAAUUAAAGCAAAUUUUAAAAAAGGAAGUCUGUUCGACUUUUAAAAAAUUACA
rnacentral:rRNA from 1 species